UGGAUGUUUUAUAUUUUUCUCAAGGUUUUUGUCAAUAUUGUCUGUCAAGGUUGACAGAUUGGAUUGAAAAAUUUUCCGUCACACGCCGCAAAGUUCCUGCAACUGACGAAACAAUGGGUGCUGGCUAUAGAGAGCCCUGGCACACAUGUAGGGAAAACACAGCUGAGUAGUUUGGGACACAUUCUGUUUGUUGUGCAUCAGCUGGAGAAUGGAAUCCUUUCGUUCUCCGCCGUGCAUGGCGUGACAUGUUGCCAGGAUGUUUAUGCAAACUUGGGGGGCAGAACGAUGUGCGUUAUGUCUGGGAUGGCACCAGGAACGUGACACUUGUGUGCCGCGUUCUACUGACUGGACUUCUCAGGAGACUGACUGAAUUAGGACAUGUCUCACUAUACACAGAGGUGUGACAAUGGCAGACAGAAGCUGGUUGAUGUUGUCCAUGUUCACAUUGAAGUCAUUCACGGCUACCAGACAGUCACCUGUGGACAACAAGACAGACAUUACAAGGUAGAAAUAACUGGAGACCAAAGCUGACCAAAACGGACAAGUUACAGUCAAACUUUCAAAUUAAGCUACGCCAGAAGACCACUCAGGGGGCUGAUAAAAUCUGGUCUACGUGGUCACUAGUGUAUACUAUAAUAGACAGGUUUCUUAAUGUUUGCCAAAAGGUUGUCACCUAGGACAGGUGGUCGAUUGUACAGGUAUGACUGUUCAUAUAUAUUGUCACACAUGUAUGUCAACAGAGCAACCUAUAGCCUUACUCGCACUUCAAUGCUGGAAAGAAGCAUUACUGAUUUAGUGAAGCACAAAAGGGUGCAAAUGUACAAAGAAAAAGGUUAAUUUUGGACAAAAUCUUCAACAACAAAACAAUAACAAUAACAAAAACAUGUUAGAGCAUUAAGAUAUGCGAUGCCAGGGCAAUUCUAUCACAACUGGCACAUUUGCAUUUCUCUGGCGCCUGGAAUAAAUUAGAAAGCAGCCUCAGCAAACUUGCUUCCAAUAACUCCAAACACUUUUAUCAACCCUAGAUGUGAUGUUAAUAUAACUUGCAAGGCAGGAAAAUGGGGAAAAAUUGUAGUUGAUUUGUUAGUCACUGAGUUAGACAAUGUUGACAACAAAACACACUCACUGACUGAGGCUGU